rnacentral:rRNA from 1 species
GAUGAACGCUGGCGGCGUGCCUAAUACAUGCAAGUCGAGCGAACAGACGAGGAGCUUGCUCCUCUGACAUUAGCGGCGGACGGGUGAGUAACACGUGGAUAACCUACCUAUAAGACUGGGAUAACUUCGGGAAACCGGAGCUAAUACCGGAUAAUAUAUUGAACCGCAUGGUUCAAUAGUGAAAGACGGUUUUGCUGUCACUUAUAGACGGAUCCGCGCCGCAUUAGCUAGUUGGUAAGGUAACGGCUUACCAAGGCGACGAUGCGUAGCCGACCUGAGAGGGUGAUCGGCCACACUGGAACUGAGACACGGUCCAGACUCCUACGGGAGGCAGCAGUAGGGAAUCUUCCGCAAUGGGCGAAAGCCUGACGGAGCAACGCCGCGUGAGUGAUGAAGGUCUUCGGAUCGUAAAACUCUGUUAUUAGGGAAGAACAAAUGUGUAAGUAACUAUGCACGUCUUGACGGUACCUAAUCAGAAAGCCACGGCUAACUACG